CAAUCUCGUUAACAACCGACCGUUGCGGUAAGCGCGAGCGGACGUGUGGUUCGUCAAAUCGCCGGAUCGAGCAGAACAUAUCCUGGAAAACGGCAGUCGAUCCUUGGCCGGUAUCCAUUUCGUGCCUGGAAGUGUCUCGAACCGUAACGAUCCUUGCACGGCCGUCGAAAUAAUUCGUCACCGAGCGAUACGAUCCGCUUUACAAGAGCCUACCGGAGGAUAAGAUAUAUCGCCGGAAACAAUUCCACUAAUUGCGGAUCGGCAUUUCUGUCCACAUGAGCAAUUCGGCGAGAUUCGCACGGCAGACCGGCGUUCUGUUGGUCCUCUUUAUCGGCUGCCUCGCGGCAUUGUCCUCGCGCCCGUUGAAGAAGUUCGCGCAACCGACCUUCUACGACGCGUUGUUCUUUUAUCCGCAACGAGAAGUCCAGAGGCGAAUUCAGCCUAAGACUAUUCUCGAUCCUCCGACUUUCGGAUGCCUACCAAACCAGAAGAAGGAUCAGCUUGGACGGUGCAGAGACAGCAUACGCCCAAUAACAGAUGAUUCUUACUACGAGAUAUAGCAACUUUUAGGGAAACAUUUCUUUUCCUUUUAAGUGACUUAAUAUUAGGCGUGAUUUCAUUGGAAACAAGAUCUGAGACAGCGAGACAGUUUUUAUCGAGAUUCACAGUUUUUAUUUGUUGGAUUCUUCGAAAUUGUAAAAUUCCACGUUACGGGGGCUAUUCCGUAUCUUUCGUGAAAAUAAUGAGGCGCGAAACGCAAUAAAUACCAGAAAUUUACGGUCAUCAGGCAAUUUGGAUAUCAUACGGAGAUCUUUCGGCAGAUCAUGAUGUUAUUUUUCUUUAUGUUACUUCUAGUGUAUGACAAAAUCGUUAGGUGUGUGCUUCCGCCGGAAAGAUGACUAUCGAAAAUAACAAGCCAGAAGUGGACAAAUAAUCUGCGGUUUCUCCAAUUAUUUCGCGAUUUUCAAGACUCUCUGAGAUUUACAAGAACCAAAUGUUGGUGGAAUUUGUAUACACGUUUCCAUGUUACGUGGAUUUUUACGAGAAAAAUACGGUUUUAUUGCGUUACUCGAAACAUGUAAGAAGUAGAAUUUUAUUCUAUCUCGUCUCUCUGCAAUUCCCGAUUGUAAAAAUAUGAAUUUUUCUGGUCGUUAUUCACUUUUAAUCGCUUCUUUACGAGCUCGCUUAACGUACGAUGAUUUUUUAAAAAAUUAUGGAUAUACUGGUGUCAUGAUAAACUACAAAUUAAAAGUGCGUUAAUUUAAUUCUAGAUGAAUAAUCUAUUGUAAUUUGUUCUUUACUGAAGACUGAAAUAGAAAUAUUACAUUGGGGUUGAUCAUGACUAGACUGCGGACUUUUAUGCAAAAUAGGAGUCGUCCGCAUCAAUCGCGAAAAAUAAAAACCCGAAUAGGAAGUUCUUUCGUUAAUCAUUUUAAUAAGUUAAAAAUAAUACAUUGACAUUUCUAAAUUCUCUAAAUCUGUCUACUAUUUUAAAUUGCAUCUACUAAAUUUUGCCGUAAGUGCAUAAAAUCCGCAGUCUGCUCGUGAUCCCAGCAUAUCACUUAAGGGUUAAAACGAAUACACGCACUCAAAUUGAUUAUUUCUCGUUGAUGCAGCCAUCGUUUAUUAAUACUUUCACGAAAGAUGAAAUUGUGACUGUGAAAUUAUUACUAAUUCUCAUAAAUUCAACGCACCAGCAGAUUUAUACUGUAAACAAUUUAAAAAGCUUAACCGAAUCUCUCCUUUAUAUAUUAUUAGUAAAAUCAUCGCUUAAUAAAACUUCUAUUUUAUUUCAAGCCCAAUCGAAUUUUUAACGACGCUUCCCUUCCCGAUUUCAGACACAAAAAAAAUUAAUCCAUGGACACUUAUGUUUACACAACGAUCCCCGAUCACGUAACAAACGCACCAGCAGAUUUAUACUGUAAACAAUUUAAAAAGCUUAACCGAAUCUCUCCUUUAUAUAUAUUAUUAGUAAAAUCAUCGCUUAACAAAACUUCCAUUUUAUUUCAAGCCCAAUCGAAUUUUUAACGACGCUUCCCUUCCCAAUUUCAGACACAACAAAAAUUAAUCCCUGAACACUUAUGUUUACACAACGAUCCCCGAUACGUAACAAACACACCAGCAGAUUUAUACUGUAAACAAUUUAAAAAGCUUAACCGAAUCUCUCCUUUACAUAUAUUAUUAGUAAAAUCAUCGCUUAAUAAAACUUCUAUUUUAUUUCAAGCCCAAUCGAAUUUUUAACGACGCUUCCCUUCCCGAUUUCAGACACAAAAAAAAUUAAUCCAUGGACACUUAUGUUUACACAACGAUCCCCGAUCACGUAACAAACGCACCAGCAGAUUUAUACUGUAAACAAUUUAAAAAGCUUAACCGAAUCUCUCCUUUAUAUAUAUUAUUAGUAAAAUCAUCGCUUAA